CAGGUAAGCUCUUGUUCUGCUUGUCUACAGCCGGUCUAAUUGUAUGUAGAUAGAGAAUGAAGUGUUUGUCAUAAUGUAUAAUCAUAGAAAAUCCUGUUAAAGGCACCAUGCUGCUGUAUAACAUACCCCUCCCCAGGGCAGCCCAGAGGCUGGAGCUGAGGGGUAUACAGUCAUACAGUGACCUGGAGGGGUGCUCCAGGGCCUCCACACCCUGCCCACUGCCACCGUGGACUACAGGGGGAUCCGCCUAUCUGCCCUGGGUCUGGCCCCUGGCCCCUGGCCUGGAGGGCCCCUCUGCUCCUACCAGGCAUGAUGGAUCAGGCGUAUGAGCGUCUGAAGGAGGCAGCAUACCUGUUUGGCCGUGUGUGUGAUGACCUGAACCCAGAGGCCUGCUCCUUCCUGUCUCAGCCUGAUGGCCAGAGUGAGGCCCGCAGUGUCCAGCUCAAGCCUGUGGUCAUCAGUGAGAGGGUCCUGGGCUUUGACCACCCCAACACUACCAACAAUACGCUCUGUUGGCAGAGUAUGUGUUUGCUGGAGGAGAGUCCACUCUAGCUCAGAGGUGUCUGUUCAGAGCACGUCUCCUGACGCUCACAGUUCAUGGAGAAGACCACCCCUACACUGCUACACUAGAUUAUGGUGAGGACCACCCCCAGAGACACUACAGCUACGAAUUUCUGCACUCCAUUACCCAGCAGGCAGUGCAUGUGGAGCACUCUAUAAGGAAAGGCGGGGACCCGCUCACAGCUGAGGGUCAGUCUCUUUCUCCCUCAGCUGAGACCACUCUGGAGCAGCUGGCCCUGGUCACAGGCAUUAGGACACCAAGCCACAGUGACAGGCUCCUGGAUUUCAAACAGAAGCUGAUGGAAAAGAGAGAGGCAGUUAACGCCAAACCAGACAACACAUGCACAGAAACAGUGAAUGAAGAAGAAGCAGAGGGGACAUCUAAAGGAGAGGAGGCUGUGGCAGUCCAGGAGAUCACCAGCGAGGUGCUCUCAGUAGAGGCAGGUCACAAUGAGAACCCAGCCAACAGACAGUGGACUGCCAUCAACUGGAGCCCAUUGAGGAGAACGUAGAGGUGGGCUCAGUAGUAGAGAGUGGAGCUUUUGGAUAAUCCAGUGAGGGAGAUGAAGACCGAGCUGCCCCAGAGGCUGAGCAGCACACAGGGGACAGGGGACAGAGGAUGGAGAGGCAGAAUUGAUGGUUACUGAGGAAACUGAGCCAGUAUAGAGGAGAGUCUGACACAAAAUGGAGGUUUGGAAUCUGACGGAAACAAAUCAGACAGUGAGAUGGAGAUAGUCAAUGAUAAGCCAGGGUCAGAUGUGAACAGAUCACCAGUGAUGACCAAUCAGAACAACAAGAGGACGUCAUGAACGGGAAUGCCUCUAUCCAUCGACCAAGCAAAACUAACCCUGACCACAGCAGAGGGUGAGAUGCUAGCUAACGGAACAUCUGUCAGAGAGGGAGGAUUUUUUUUUUUUAAGGGAUUAACAGAACAAAUAACCAAAGAGAAGCCAUAGGACAGACAAGGCAGUAGCAUAUUAAAGGGGCUGUUGAUUCAGCUGGAUCAGAAUCCUGAGAGCAGAUGGCUGUGGAGGAUGAAAGGGGAAAACGAGGAGAAAGAAUAUAGAAGUGUGCCAUUCUCUUUUAUCUGGGUUGUUUACUGGUAUUGGGAGAGAACUUAUUUGGUCUUUAUCACCAACGUUUUGGCAUCACUGUGCCAUCAGGGUUUAUGAAACAUGUAACUUCAUUGACUCUUAAAUAAACCAUUU